UACACUUUGCCAGUUACUCAGUUACCCUUUUUUAUUUUCAUAGAUAUUCUGGGAUAAUUCCUUUUUUUUUUUUUUUUUUUACUGUAUAUAUGUGCAUGCUGAUGAAAGCAAAAAAGAAAGCACAUCCUUGGAUCUGAGAAGGCACGCGUGUGGUGAGAUGGAAGGAAGGACACGCAAAAAGGAAAUUUAGCACCUCUUGGAUCAAACCUUGAAUGCCACAGUGCUAGGUGUUUAACUGAUGUCCAGGAAGGAGAGAAACUAAUAUUAUGAUGAAAUACAAUGAAUGUGCAUGGCCUUAUGAGUGGAGUAGGUCUACACCAGGAUCUGAACCCGUGAACCUGGGCUGCCAAAGCAGAGGGUGUGGAACUUUCAAUUAUUCUGCCACAGGACAGGCCCAGAAUACAUUCUUUUCAAAGCGAGCCUCAGAUUCUCUAAUUCAUCUAUCUGCCAAAGCAGUCUUUUGGAAAGAUGACCACCACAUCAUGUUUCUUCAUCAGUCUGCAGUUGACAUGUUUCAGGAGUAUUAGAAAUAAGCAAUAAUCAGAGGACAAGGAUUAUAUAAACUGAUAAUAUUUACAGCCUCUUUUGCCACUGUCAAAACUGGAAAUUUUCCACUUUUAGUCACUGAACUUUUGGAUUCUUAAAUUUUGAGACAUUCUUUCACACUUAGCCUCUGCAUAAGAAUCUUUAGAAGUUU
rnacentral:lncRNA from 1 species